rnacentral:rRNA from 1 species
AUUGAACGCUGGCGGCAUGCUUUACACAUGCAAGUCGAGCGGCAGCGCGGGGGCAACCCUGGCGGCGAGCGGCGAACGGGUGAGUAAUGCAUCGGAACGUGUCCCGUAGUGGGGGAUAACGCCGCGAAAGCGGCGCUAAUACCGCAUAUGCUCUACGGAGGAAAGGGGGGGACCCGCAAGGGCCUCCCGCUAUGGGAGCGGCCGAUGUCCGAUUAGCUUGUUGGUGAGGUAAAGGCUUACCAAGGCGACGAUCGGUAGCUGGUCUGAGAGGAUGAUCAGCCACACUGGGACUGAGACACGGCCCAGACUCCUACGGGAGGCAGCAGUGGGGAAUUUUGGACAAUGGGGGCAACCCUGAUCCAGCCAUGUCGCGUGCGGGAAGAAGGCCUUCGGGUUGUAAACCGCUUUUGUCCGGGAAGAAAAGGCAUUCCCUAAUACGGGGUGCUCUUGACGGUACUGGAAGAAUAAGCACCGGCUAACUACGUGC